GAUGAAGAACGUAGCGAAAUGCGAUAAGUAAUGUGAAUUGCAGAAUUCAGUGAAUCAUCGAAUCUUUGAACGCACAUUGCGCCCCUUGGUAUUCCGAGGGGCAUGCCUGUUCGAGCGUCAUUAUAACUCCUCAAGCUCAGCUUGGUGUUGGGGCCUGCUGCACUGGCAGCCCUUAAAAUCAGUGGCGGCGCCAUCUGGCUCUAAGCGUAGAAAUUCUUCUCGCUAUGGAGUCCUGGUGGAUGCUUGCCAUCAACCCCCAAUUUUUCUAUGGUUGACCUCGGAUCAGGUAGGGAUACCCGCUGAACUUAAGCAUAUCAAUAAGCGGAGGA
rnacentral:misc_RNA from 1 species